rnacentral:lncRNA from 1 species
UCAGGCAAGCCAAAUUCGACAUGCUAAAGCAAAGGAAGACCUGCACACUAGAGCCAGCUCCCUUUGUCAAAGUUUGACACAAAUGAGGAGGGGAAAGACCUCAGUUUUCUUACCUACAAAAACAAGAGCAUCUGGCUCAUCCGGCAAGGUAGUCUGCCUAAUCACAGUGAUCAGGACGCUAAGCCAGGACAAACCCACGUUUAAGAUAUCCGCCUCCAAAAAGAACUAAACAAAGAGAAAAAUGGAGAUUUGAAGGUUGCUUUUUGUUUGUUUUUUUAUCCCAAUUUCAUCUCAAUUCCAGUUCUACUCAGUGCAGUACAAAAAUAGUAAAAUUCAAAAUAUUAUGUUUUCUGGUAAAUAUUACUUAACUUCAAGCAUAAA